UUGGGCCAACCUCCCAUCCGUGUCUAUUAUACCCUGUUGCUUCGGCGGGCCCGCCGCUUGUCGGCCGCCGGGGGGGCGCCUUUGCCCCCCGGGCCCGUGCCCGCCGGAGACCCCAACACGAACACUGUCUGAAAGCGUGCAGUCUGAGUUGAUUGAAUGCAAUCAGUUAAAACUUUCAACAAUGGAUCUCUUGGUUCCGGCAUCGAUGAAGAACGCAGCGAAAUGCGAUAACUAAUGUGAAUUGCAGAAUUCAGUGAAUCAUCGAGUCUUUGAACGCACAUUGCGCCCCCUGGUAUUCCGGGGGGCAUGCCUGUCCGAGCGUCAUUGCUGCCCUCAAGCCCGGCUUGUGUGUUGGGUCGCCGUCCCCCUCUCCGGGGGGACGGGCCCGAAAGGCAGCGGCGGCACCGCGUCCGAUCCUCGAGCGUAUGGGGCUUUGUCACAUGCUCUGUAGGAUUGGCCGGCGCCUGCCGACGUUUUCCAACCAUUUUUUCCAGGUUGACCUCGGAUCAGGUAGGGAUACCCGCUGAACUUAAGCAUAUCAAUAAGCGGGGAAAAAGAAAUAGCCAGCAGAUAUUUUAAUGAUCUUUAACUAUGAUCUGAAGUCAAGUGGGACUACCCGCUGAACUUAAGCAUAUCAAUAAGCGGAGGAAAAAGAAAUU
rnacentral:rRNA from 1 species